rnacentral:tRNA from 1 species
GUGUCUGUAGCUUAGUGGAUAGAGCGUCUGCUUCCUAAGCUAAGGUCGUGGGAUCGAUCCCUACCUGGCGUG